rnacentral:rRNA from 1 species
UGGGGAAUUUGGACAAUGGGCGAAAGCCUGAUCCAGCAAUGCCGCGUGUGUGAAGAAGGCCUUCGGGUUGUAAAGCACUUUUGUCCGGAAAGAAAUCCUUGGCUCUAAUACAGUCGGGGGAUGACGGUACCGGAAGAAUAAGCACCGGCUAACUACGUGCCAGCAGCCGCGGUAAUACGUAGGGUGCAAGCGUUAAUCGGAAUUACUGGGCGUAAAGCGUGCGCAGGCGGUUUGCUAAGACCGAUGUGAAAUCCCCGGGCUCAACCUGGGAACUGCAUUGGUGACUGGCAGGCUAGAGUAUGGCAGAGGGGGGUAGAAUUCCACGUGUAGCAGUGAAAUGCGUAGAGAUGUGGAGGAAUACCGAUGGCGAAGGCAGCCCCCUGGGCCAAUACUGACGCUCAUGCACGAAAGCGUGGGGAGCAAAACAGGAUUAGAUACCCUGGUAGUCCACGCCCUAAACGAUGUCAACUAGUUGUUGGGGAUUCAUUUCCUUAGUAACGUAGCUAACGCGUGAAGUUGACCGCCUGGGGAGUACGGUCGCAAGAUUAAAACUUAAAUGAAUUGACGGGGUCAUAGCUGUUUCCU